rnacentral:rRNA from 1 species
AUUGAACGCUGGCGGCAGGCUUAACACAUGCAAGUCGAGCGGAGAUGAGGUGCUCGCACCUUAUCUUAGCGGCGGACGGGUGAGCAAUGCUUAGGAAUUUGCCUAUUAGUGGGGGACAACAUUCCGAAAGGAAUGCUAAUACCGCAUACGUCCUACGGGAGAAAGCAGGGGAUCUUCGGACCUUGCGCUAAUAGAUGAGCCUAAGUCGGAUUAGCUAGUUGGUGGGGUAAAGGCCUACCAAGGCGACGAUCUGUAGCGGGUCUGAGAGGAUGAUCCGCCACACUGGGACUGAGACGCGGCCCAGACUCCUACGGGAGGCAGCAGUGGGGAAUAUUGGACAAUGGGGGGAACCCUGAUCCAGCCAUGCCGCGUGUGUGAAGAAGGCCUUAUGGUUGUAAAGCACUUUAAGCGAGGAGGAGGCUACUGAGACUAAUACUCUUGGAUAGUGGACGUUACUCGCAGAAUAAGCACCGGCUAACUCUGUGCCAGCCGCCGCCGUAAGAC